GGGGAAAACAAUACACUCGUCAUAGAUGGUGAAGGACAAGUUCCAUCAACACAACAAAUGUUUUAGUCUCAACAUCAAUAGAACAUUAUGACACGUUGACAAUUGGCUUUGUCACAACUCAAGCACGACAUAUCUGGAGUGAUUGCAAACACUUAAUACGAUAAAGAAAUCAGCCCUGGAUGGUCUAAAGCGGCGAGCAAAAAUUGACAAAAGAGUCAAGCAUUCAGCAAACUAGAGAGGACAACAACAAAACCAUCCCUAUAAUCACUUAUAAAACUAAUGUUACAUACAUAAACAAGACUAAAAAAUGUGCUACAAGAGCAGACAGAAACUUCUAAAACUAAAAAUUUAUUAAACAAUGAAAAAAACAAAUUACUAUUUACUUUAUAUGAAAUACAUCAAAAAAAAUAAAUUAAUAUCGAAAUCGAAUAUUUACCAAAACCGAUGGAUUUGAAAUCGACUAAUGCUCACUAUAUUAAUAAAGAAAACAAAGAUAGUGAUAUCCCCAGUACACGCCAAAGUUGAUGUCGAGGGAAAAAAAAGAAAAUUGAAAAGUUUGUGAUUUAAAAAAUUAGUGUAAAGAAAUUAUUAUAUAGGUUAAUGAAGACAAAGAAACAGUUCAAAGUUGGAAACCUUCAAUUCACUAGUAAUACCCAAUGUGCAUGAAUAGAAAAAGGAAAUAAAGAACGAAAGGGAAGAUUGCUCCCAAAAAGCACAAUCUUUCUAUGAAUCCAGAAGUUGAAAUGUUUCAAAAUAUGAAGCAACAAAGAUGAAAAAUAAUAAACAAAAGGUGAUGGAAAUGCAUUUGCGUACCCUUUUUUUAGCUAAUUUUAAAGCAGAGUCGCAAUGGUCGACGAUGGCCACUCAGAAAGCUAGCUGUAUUCUAUCACCUUGCAUGUUCAGUUGUUUUCUUUGUUAGCCCAUCACUGUGAGUCGUCAUUUUCGCGUUCUUGCUUUUUGAUGAGCUUUUUUUUUUUUUAAAGAAAGAAAUUAUUAUUUGACACUGUUUAAUUUAAUCUCAAAAUAACAAUUAAAACUUUUUCUUUUCUUUUUGCUUUCAUCUCAGUAUAAAAUGUUUUGAAGACAAAGGAGGUCACCAUUCCGCCCCGGUGAGGGUGAGGAGCACGG
rnacentral:lncRNA from 1 species